rnacentral:rRNA from 1 species
AAAAGAACUCUGAAGAGAGGGUGCAAAAGCGCGUGAAACCGCCCAGGGGUAAACUGGCUGAGCCGAGCGACGUGUCCUGCCGGGGCGGCUAGUCGCCCUCGGUCUCGACCGGGUUUCGUGCCCGGUAAAGGCCGGGGCGCGUGUCCAACCCCGGCAGGUCUCCGCCGUCACCGGCACCGGGCCGUCUCGUCGUCGCGUCUUCCUCGGGUCGUCGGCUCGAGGGGUGUGGGCACGAUUGUACGAGAGCGGCCGCGGGUGCCGUGGUCGACCGCGGGUAUAUAGGCCGGUCGUUCGCGCCCUCGUGCGCGGGCGACCCCUGCCCGCCGGAAGGUGUACGGCGUAUUCCGGUACCUGCCCGACCCGUCUUGAA